AACGAACGCUGGCGGCAUGCCUAACACAUGCAAGUCGAACGAUGCUUUCGGGCAUAGUGGCGCACGGGUGCGUAACGCGUGGGAAUCUGCCCUUGGGUUCGGAAUAACAGUGAGAAAUUGCUGCUAAUACCGGAUGAUGUCUUCGGACCAAAGAUUUAUCGCCCAGGGAUGAGCCCGCGUAGGAUUAGCUAGUUGGUGGGGUAAUGGCCUAACAAGGCGACGAUCCUUAGCUGGUCUGAGAGGAUGAUCAGCCACACUGGGACUGAGACACGGCCCAGACUCCUACGGGAGGCAGCAGUGGGGAAUAUUGGACAAUGGGCGCAAGCCUGAUCCAGCAAUGCCGCGUGAGUGAUGAAGGCCUUAGGGUUGUAAAGCUCUUUUACCCGGGAUGAUAAUGACAGUACCGGGAGAAUAAGCCCCGGCUAACUCCGUG
rnacentral:rRNA from 1 species